rnacentral:lncRNA from 1 species
UGGGGCUCUUAGAGGCUGCAGAGGAGUGCCCGCACACUGCAGGGAUUUGUCAGUUGAUGGAGACCAACCAUUGCCCAACCAUGUCCAGUUAAAGCCUAAUUGUAAGAGCAAUAUUUUGUGUGAAACCUGGUGCUACACAGCUAAGAAUCCUCAGGGUGUGCCUGCCCCAGGAACAAGCCCCGAGUCCAGAACAAGUCAUGGCAUGGUACUGCACAUCUUGUGGGUUCACCCUGCUCCUGGUGGCCAGCAGAUCCCAGACUGCAGAACUCCUCAUCACAGGGUACCAAAGAGAGAGAUCCUCCUCAGCAUCCAUGCCAGGGAAGAGGCAAUGCAGCCACAUUAAAAUGUUUAAAGACAAAUUUGAUUAGAAUCCCAGACCUCAACUGUACCUGUCUGGUGAGGUUUGUCUACCUGAGAAGCCUGAGGGAUGGAAGAGAAGUGAGCCAGUGACUAACAGUGCAAACAACAGCACAGUGACAUCAGGAUACUGGGAUGCUGCUGGCAGUGCCUGGGCACCAGCUCUGCCACAUUCAGCCUGGACUGGGCUCCAGCACUGAAUCUCUGUCCUGAAGUCCCUGCUGCCAUGGGUAAAAGACACUGCAGUGUAUCACAAAUCCCAAAGGACAGAGACCAUUUUUAUCUAAGCCUGGUACAGGGAGAAAAGGAAAAAUCAACAUUAAAAAU